GAAGAGUGACCUUUGCGCAGACAGUUGA
rnacentral:piRNA from 1 species